rnacentral:rRNA from 1 species
CAUGCAAGUCGAGCGAGAAAGUGACUUCGGUCACGAGUAAAGCGGCGAACGGGUGAGUACAACGUGGAUAAUCUACCCUAAGGUCCGGGACAACCCCGAGAAAUCGGAGCUAAUACCGGAUAAGACCACAGUAUCCGAGGAUACAGCGGUAAAAGAUUUAUCGCCUUUGGAUGAGUCCACGUCCCAUCAGGUAGUUGGUAAGGUAAAAGCUUACCAAGCCUAAGACGGGUAGCCGGCCUUAGCGGGUGAACGGCCACAUGGGGACUGAGACACGGCCCUGACUCCUACGGGAGGCAGCAGUGGGGAACAUUGGGCAAUGGGCGAAAGCCUGACCCAGCGAUGCCGCGUGAGGGAUGAAGGCCUUCGGGUUGUAAACCUCUGUCAGGAGGGACGAUGGGACACUUGUGUCUUGACGGUACCUCCAGAGGAAGCCCCGGCUAACUCCGUGCCAGCAGCCGCGGUAAUACGGAGGGGGCAAGCGUUGCUCGGAAUUACUGGGCGUAAAGGGUCCGCAGGCUGUCAGGCAAGUUGGUUGUGAAAGCUCAAGGCUUAACCUUGGAAUUGCAUCCAAAACUGCCUGACUAGAGUCCAAGAGAGGUUGGCGGAAUUCCCGGUGUAGCGGUGAAAUGCAUAGAUAUCGGGAGGAACACCAGAGGCGAAGGCGGCCAACUGGCUUGGAACUGACG